CAAAAAUAAACAAGAUAACACUUUUUGCCAGGAUUUGUUUGUUUUUAUUAGCGUGACGAGACGGACAUUUUGCGAGGAAAACAACAUCUCACGUUUGAGAUCUCAAUCAUGGGAUAUUGCCCAAUAUCCAAAGGUAGCAAACCAAUCAAAUUGCGCCAUCUUAGGAGGUUCACGUGUAGCAUACUAAAUAAAUAUAGCUAAAGCUUAUAACUUGCCAAGUAGUUGAAAGCGGUGAAAUGCCAUCGUAGAUUUAAUACAUAAUUGAACAUGUAUUGCACAAAGAUACAAUAAAGGAAAGGGCCAUACAAGCUUCCUUUUAGACUUCAUGGUGAAAAAUGUUAACAUUUUUAGAUUAAAGUAGGCCAACUUUGUCAUUGUCACACACACAUCUUCAGUUUGGUAAAAAGCAAUUAUCAUUAUACUUUGAUGGCAACUAACAAUCUUUUCUGGUCAACAACCGAUAAGUUCCAAAGCUAAAUUCGAGAAAGACCCACUAUUUUUUUGAUUCUAUAAUGGCUUCAAUGAGACGCUGUUCCUGCCAGACCGCACGGAUUCCGUACGGUUUCCGUACGGUUUAGCACUUUUAUCUACCACUGGCCGGCAUCAAAUAAAAAUUUUGGGGAGAAAAAAAGAUCGUCCUUGCGGCCUUAAACUGACUCAACAGCGCCAAUUGUUGUUGUGUAGUGUGAAUCAAAGGACAUUUGUUUGUCACGUGACUUUUGGCACUAAUUUUCCGCCUUGCUGAUCCGUGCGCAAAUGCCUUCCGAUCCACGCCCAGCUUUCAGUGUUCCGUACUUGUAGAAUUGUUUUGUGUAGGCCUACUUGAAGGAUUUUUUUUUGUACUUCACUGUAAAACAUACUGUAUUUUUUUCUGAAGCAAAAUGCAUUAGUUUGUGAAUGAUGUUUUGUAUUUGCAAACCACACUGAGCGUGUGUGUGAAUCAUUGUGCGUGAGUAAAACACGUUUUGUGUGCGUGUGAAUCGUUACGCCUCGUGCCCACUACCUCCGUCCGUUGACUGAUCCUCAUUGACUUUGAAUGGGGACGGACGUGCAAUGCAUUGUGGAUCCGUCCGUUCCGUUGGAGCCUUCUGCUCCGUGAAAAAGUUGAAAAAUGUUCAACUUUUUCGGCAGCGACGGAUCCGUCAUCCAAUCAGAUCGCGCAUGCAAAUUUAAGCACUGUGACGCGACUCGGGCUCUGACGAUACUGGAAAGCGGGAAAGCGGGUCAUCUUCCAUCGCAACAAGCAGGAAUAAGCGGGAAGAACCCGGCAAAGCGAUUUGAUUGGCUGAUGGAUGCCUCUGCAAAGACUACCCCCCCAUCCGUCAGCCAUGCCUUCCCACGUCCGUUGACUGACGGUGCAGUGGGCAUGUAGCGUUACGCUUCGUGCCCACUGCACCGUCAGUCAACGGGCAAGAUGACCCGCUUUCCCGCUUUCCAGUAUCGUCAGAGCCCGAGUCGAGUCACAGUGCUUAAAUUUGCAUACGCGAUCUGAUUGGAUGACGGAUCCGUCGCUGUCGAAAAAGUUGAACAUUAUUCAACUUUUUGCAUUGCGCGUCCGUCCCCAUUCAAAGUCAAUGGGGAUCAGUCAACGGACGGAGGUAGUGGGCACGAGGCGUUAUGCGUGAGCAAAACACGUUUUGCGUGUGUGCGGGGUUUUGGCAUGAUUCUAACUCCAUAUGGGAGUUCACUCUUUGAUAUGGCUGUCUGUACUAAAAGCAUACGGCUCCUUUAAAUGCGUCUGCAAAAUUGAAUUGUACGUCAUGAGCGAACAAAGCGAACAGAAAUAUUCGCAGCGAAACUUUAUGAGCGACCAAAGCGUCUUUGACGCUUUGGUCGCUUCUGGUGUGGACGUACUUGCGAAACCCUUGCUAAACGCGGAAACACAUGCCUGUUUUGUUUUUUGAUGGUGUGUUUUCCAACCCUUUUUGUUAUUUUUUUAAUCCCUUUUUGUCUCGGUAGUGAAUUUGUCUCGGGAGUGAAUCUUUUCACAGUUUCAAGGAUCUCUUGGUAUUCUAUGGAAUCUUUGUCAAAGUUUCCACCUAGGUCAUAAUGUUGACUGACAUAAUCCUUCAGCUCAUCCCUCUCUUCCUCAGUGAUGACUUUUGGUCCAUUGUAGUUAAAAUCGAUCAAUCCCAGAAAGCCCUUUUUGUAGAUUUUCGUCGUUCUAGCUUCUGAAAGUGAGCAUUUGUUUUCAGGGGGACGUCUCGAUAUUUCUGCAACAAAUGCACACAUAUGAAUUAGGCAAAACAUAUACAGCAUUGGAUAGUCACCAAGUAGUUACUACAAACCUGCUUCGUCUCUCAUACUCUGGGAAACAAAUGGGUGGGCGAUCAUCAUGGCUUGCUUCAACAUUGGCACCGCUUCUCCUCUUGCAAUUCUACGUGCGAGAACACCCCUGUGGACAGAAUUCAUGCACGGUCAGGGCGCAUUGGAAACAUUCUCUCAACAGUCUGCCUGGUUUUUGAUGAAAUAAACCCCAGCAACCAUGGUUGUGAAUAGAGAUGCAUGACCCUGCAUGACCUAUGUUGACUACUUCUGCAUUGAAUAUGAUUGAGAAAUAGGAAAUAGCCGCAGCUAGGGGGUUAUAAGCACACCACAAUGACAAUGUGCUGUCAUGGUCGGAUGCAGAAAUGGGUGUGGCUUGGUUGGGGGUGUACUGUGGAGUCGGCCCUUGUGGCUUCUGCAUGUGUUGGGCCACAAACAUCUGGAACUAACAUCUUUAACAUUUAGCCUGGUAGGAGGGACAGUGGCAGGGCAGUCUUUUGUUUGGUUCUGUUUUUGGGGUCUUUUUCUACACGUGCGAUUCCAUGUAAAAAUACUGUUUAGUUUUUUACUGCUUCUGUCUCAGUAGCGCUACAUUGGGAUAUGCACCCUCUCGACUCGUUGUUAAUUGCCAUAAACGUUUUUUGUAACACAGCUGUGUAAUAACCUGAUUGUUUUAUCUUUUUAUGGUUUGGGUGUUGCCUGUGAAUGGGUGAUGAUGAUCUGAAGAGGAUCGGUGGGUGAUCUUAAACUAUUGGAAGGAAGCAGGGAGGGAGAGAGUACCUGACGGCCUGAGACUCUCUACUGAUGCCGGUGGACAGAGCGGCCCCGUGGUGGUGUUUGGUGACCUGGAUGGCGAAGAGUUUCAUCCCCCGCGGAUCGUUCUCCAGGCUCAUCACCAUAUCAUAAAGGGCCGGAUUUAUCCUUUCCAGCUCCUGAAAAUCAGGCUCUUUCUUAGCCCUAUUCAGGGAGUCCAGGGGUGGGAUGUGGUCCGCUUCAACGUAACCCUUGUGCCCAGGGUUCCCUUUGCCCUUGGAGAAGGCCCUGUUCUUGAUUACACUGAAAGCACAGAACAUCUUGUUUACCAAAACAUAUUGUGACACAGUUUUCUUGUGGUUAGUGGAUUGCAGCCAGGGUCCCACAUCUGCCUGAUAGAUACGUGUCAAGAUGUGUGGCAGUGUGGCAGUUCCCAACCUAAUCUGUACAACCAGGUAAACUAGCAAAAGGACCUAAUUAGAUCGUUCUACUAGUUCACGUGGUCGGGAAUAUGUCCCUUAUCUUAAGUGACAU
ensembl:lncRNA